GGAUUAGAUACCCUGGUAGUCCACGCCGUAAACGAUGUGUACUCGCUGUCAGCCCCAACGGGGUUGGUGGCCAAGCUAACGCGUUAAGUACACCGCCUGGGGACUACGGCCGCAAGGUUAAAACUCAAAGGAAUUGACGGGGACCCGCACAAGUGGUGGAGCAUGUCGUUUAAUUCGAAGAUACGCGCAGAACCUUACCAACACUUGACAUGUUCGUCGCGACUCUAAGAGAUUAGAGUUUUCGGUUCGGCCGGACGAAACACAGGUGCUGCAUGGCUGUCGUCAGCUCGUGCCG
rnacentral:rRNA from 1 species